rnacentral:misc_RNA from 1 species
GGAGUGACAUACGGGAUCACUGAGCCAGUUGAAACGCGCGGCGAGAGAAGGCGCAAAAAAUGGAGAGCUCCGGCGAACUGGUGCCUUUCCCAUUGCUGACAACACCGAUUGAAUCGAAUUAUCGAGCAUGCACGAUCCCUUACAGGUUCCCUUCCGACAAUCCCAAGAAACCAACCCCCACCGAGCUUUCCUGGAUCGACCUCUUUAUGAAUUCCAUCCCUUCGUUUAGGAAGAGGGCUGAGAGCGAUGACAGUGUUCCAGAUGCUCCUAUUCGAGCUGAAAAGUUUGCUCAGAGAUAUUCUGCAAUACUUGAGGAUAUGAAGAAAGAUCCUGAAAGUCAUGGAGGGCCUCCUGAUUGCAUUCUUCUUUGUCGCCUUAGAGAGCAAGUGCUUAGGGAAGUGGGGUUCAGAGAUAUAUUUAAAAAGGUCAAGGAUGAAGAAAAUGCAAAGGCUAUAUCCUUAUUUAAGGAUGUAGUAUCUCUUAAUGAUGCUAUUGAGGAUGAAGCCAAGCGUGUAGAAAAUUUGGUCAGAGGAAUUUUUGCAGGAAAUAUAUUUGAUCUUGGCUCUGCAAAGCUUGCAGAGCUGUUUUCAGAGGAUGGUAUAUCCUUUCUAGCUAGUUUCCAAAACCUUGUCCCUCGACCCUGGGUUAUAGAUGAUUUGGACGUAUUUAUUACAAAAUGGAGCAAAAAAACAUGGAAAAAGGCUGUAAUCUUUGUUGAUAAUUCUGGAGCAGAUGUUAUACUUGGUAUAUUACCAUUUGC